CUUCUCUUUUAGAACUGCUUUAACUACAGCAUAAAAGUCUGAAGCUUUCCAGUUUCAUGAGGUGGAAUGGGGAGUGUGGACAUCCAGAUGGAGGCAGGGGUGUGUGUACGAGGAAAAGCUUGUACCUUCUGUCAAAGAACUCACUGUUACCUGAACAAAGAGGCAAAGAACCCAGUGCAGGAGCUGUAAUAGCUGAAGGAGAUAGAGCCUGGAUGCUGACCCUCCACAGACAGGAGAUGAGAAGGUCAGCACCUAUUGACAUAGGCUUCUGGAGCCCCAAAGUUCUGAGCUGUCUCAACCUCUGCUCCAGUAGAAGCUAUCUGGUUUUGAACUGAUUGGCUAAAGAAUGCAUGCAUCUGCAAAACUGGUUUUCCAGCUUAGCUAAAAUGAUUUGAAGCAAAUCAUUUUUAGCCUCCAGAAGAUGCUUAUAGAAGCAAUGAGUAAGCAAGUAUGAGACCAGGUG